UCCUACGGGAGGCAGCAGUGGGGAAUAUUGCACAAUGGGCGAAAGCCUGAUGCAGCGACGCCGCGUGAGGGAUGACGGCCUUCGGGUUGUAAACCUCUUUCAGUAGGGAAGAAGCGAAAGUGACGGUACCUGCGGAAGAAGCGCCGGCUAACUACGUGCCAGCAGCCGCGGUAAUACGUAGGGCGCAAGCGUUAUCCGGAAUUAUUGGGCGUAAAGAGCUCGUAGGCGGUUUGUCGCGUCUGCCGUGAAAGUCCGGGGCUCAACUCCGGAUCUGCGGUGGGUACGGGCAGACUAGAGUGAUGUAGGGGAGACUGGAAUUCCUGGUGUAGCGGUGAAAUGCGCAGAUAUCAGGAGGAACACCGAUGGCGAAGGCAGGUCUCUGGGCAUUAACUGACGCUGAGGAGCGAAAGCAUGGGGAGCGAACAGGAUUAGAUACCCUGGUAGUCCAUGCCGUAAACGUUGGGCACUAGGUGUGGGGGACAUUCCACGUUUUCCGCGCCGUAGCUAACGCAUUAAGUGCCCCGCCUGGGGAGUACGGCCGCAAGGCUAAAACUCAAAUGAAUUGACGGA
rnacentral:rRNA from 1 species